rnacentral:lncRNA from 1 species
CUGCGCUUCCGUUCGCUUGACUGGCUGCGCUUGUUUUCAGGGUUUUGGUCUGAAAACGGAUCUUACCUGCGCAGAGCAAAAUCGGUUGUAGAUUAUAUCCACGAAAAUUCCUUCUAUUAAAAUGAAUUUCAAGUCCCACCUACCCUGGAAGCAGAAAGAGAGAGAAGAGAGAGAGUAAAGAGAAAGAGAAAAGAAAGAGAAGUUGAAAAAGAGAAAGAAAACCAAGAAAGAAAGAGAAAAAAACCGAAAAUAAAUGGACAAGAAAGAAAAACGGUGAAGGUCAACCCUGUGCUCAAUUCCAGAGACUUUCCUAGGGACAUCGUGUUGGGCAUGGAGGACUAAGGCCAGUGUGAAGAUAAGUCACCGAUUCUUUAAAAAAAAAAAGCCAGUAACUUAUAAAAAUAGCCAUAAACGACGUAGUUUUUUGUUGUUGUUGUUGUUUUGAGACAGCGUCUCCCUCUGUCCCCCAGGCGGGAGUACAGUGGCAGGCACUCAGCUCACUGUAACCUCCGCCUCCUGGGUUCAAGUGAUUCUCUUGCCCCAGCCUCCAGAGUAGCCACCACGCCCGGUCCAACUUAGUUUUUUAAUACUUUUUAAAAUUUUAAGACAGGGUCUCUGCCACCGAGGCUGAAAUGCAGUGGCGCAAUCAUAGCUCACUGCAACCUUGACUUCCUGGGGUCCUGGGCAGGUGACCCCCUGUCUCAGCCUGCCGAGUAGCUGUGAGUAAAGGCCUGUGCCUCUCCACUGUGCUAAUUUUCUACUGUUUGUUGCUUUGUUUUUAAUAGAGAUGUAGUCUGGUUUUGUUGCCCAGGCUGGUCUCCAGCUUCUAGCCUCAAGCAGUCUUCCCAUCUGCUCCUACCAAAGUGCUCGGAUUAUAGGCAUGAAUCACCUUGCAUGGGAGAUAAGGACCCCCACAUCAAGCCCUCAGGUUAUUUUUGAAACACAAAUACAUAAGGCCCACAAGCAGGCCCAUUGGCUGCAGACAGUGGGGUCACCUGAAGAACUUUUCUUUGAUCUGAGUACCAACUUCUCACCUAGGUCACUGGGAUCCUGGACUACGGCACUGCUCCAGGCAGGCCUGGUUAUCCUGCUUGAGGCAGCAAUCCUCUUGAGCCUAGUGAAAUGCAACUGGCUGUACCUCAAUGAUGUUGCCCUGAGAUUCUGCCAGUCGAGGUAUUACUUCAAUCUCCUGAGACCAGCCUCUACCUCCAGAUCCAGGGAGGUCAGUGCACAUGUAAAUGGACUAGCUUUAUUAAAGGGGAUAUCUGGGCCAGGCGUGGUGGCUCACGCCUGUAAUCCCAAUACUUUGGGAGGCCGAGGAGGGCAGAUCACCUGAGGUCGGGAAUUAGAGACCAGCCUGGUUAACAUGGUGAAACGAAGUCUCUACUAAAAAUACAAAAAAAAAAAAAAAAAAAAUUAGCCAGGCAUGGUGGCACACGCCUGUAGUCCCAGCUACUCGAGAGGCUGAGACACAAGAAUUGCUUGAAUCUGGGAGGUGGAGGUGCAGUAAGCCAAGAUUGCGCCACUGCACUCCAGCCUGGGAGACAGAGCGAGACUCCGUCUCAAAAAAUAUAAAAAUAAAAGGGAUAUCUGGAUUGGCGGAGAGACUGCAGGACAGCAUUCAAGUGGGGUUGAAUUGGCCCAGUUGCAUCUGACUUCUCACUUGUAGUUCCCAAGAAUGAAUAUAGAAUGUGCUGGAAAAGCAACAUCCUGAGAGGAAGGGACCGGUGAGAAAAGGACAGGAUGUGUUCCAGAUCCCCAGAACAGGAUCCCCUUUGUUGCUUUAGGCCAACGUGCCAUGCAUCCCUGGAGCAUGAAACCCAGGAUGGGCCGCCUUCCAGCCUCCCACAGCUGUGAUGCAAGUUGAACACAUACAGAGAGACUGCAUCUGCACUGGGUGGUUUUCCUGAGCCUUGGGGAGCAGAAUGCAUGAAUCCCAGAUGGAGGAAGUGGACCAUGAGUCAAAGGAUGUAAGUGGCCUCUGGAACCUACAAAGGGUAAGGAAACAAAUUCUCCCCUGGAGAUUAAUGAAGAAUCACAGAACUAUGGACCCAUAUUAGAUAUGUGACUUACAGAAUUAUAAAAGAAUAAAUUUUUCUUGUUUUAAGCCAAUCACUGUGUAUAGCAAUAGGAAACUGAUGAAAUGAUUUUAUGUAGAAAAUUCCAAAAAAAUCUACAAAAAUCUCUAGAACAAGAAAAAUGUAAAGGUAGCAAAGUAUAAGGUCAACCUACAAAAAUAUCGUAUAUUUCAUCAGCCAGGCAUGGUGGCUCGUGCCUGUAAUCCCAGCACUUUGGGAGGCCAAGGCAGGCAGAUCACUCAAGCUCAGGAGUUUGAGACCAGGCUGGGUAACAUGGUGAAACCCCAUCUCUACAAAACACAAAAAUUUAACAGGCCAUGGUGGCACAUGCCUGCAGUGCCAGCUACUGGGGAAGCUGAGGUGGGAGGAUGACUUAAGCCUGCAGGACACAGGUUGCAGUAGCUGAGAUUGCUCCACUGCACUCCAGCCAGGAUGACAGAGUAAGGCCCUGUCUCAAAAUAAUAAUAAUAAUAAUCUUGUAUAUUUCUAUACACUAGCAAUUUGCACAUGAAACCUGAUAUUAAAAAUAAAAUACUAUGUAUGAUUGCUCCAUUAAGAAAAAGGUCAAAGAGGCCGGGUGCAGUGGCUUACACCUGUAAUCCCAGCACUUUGGGAGGCCAAGGCAGGUGGACUACGAGGUCAGGAGAUCGAGACUAUCCUGGCUAACACGGUGAAACCCCAUCUCUACUAAGAAAAUACAAAAAAAUUAGCCAGGUGUGGUGGCGGGUGCCUGUAGUCCCAGCUACUGGGGAGGCCGAGGCAGGAGAAUGGCGUGAACUCAGGAGGCGGAGCUUGCAGUGAGCUGAGAUCGCGCCACUGCACUCCAGCCUGGGCGACAGAGCAAGACUCCGUCUCAAAAAAAAAAAAAAAAAAAGGGGGGGGGCAAAGAAAUACAUGUGAAACAAAACAUUCAUAGAACUGUUAUGUUACAACUACCAAAUGCUGAUAAAAGAAAUCAAAGACAGCAAAUAGAGACAUAUACCAUAUACAUUUAUUGGAAGACUCCAUGUAAAGCAAUAUGAAUUAUACAAAUCUGACACAUAGGGUUAAUACCUUUCCUAAUUAAGGCAUUCUGCAGAUACUAACAAGGUUAGCAGUUAUGUAGAAAGACAAAAAACCCAAACACCUAAAAUAGCUAAAACAUCUGACCAACAACAACAAAAGAUUGGUAUCACUUCAUGUGAUUUCAAGUCUUCUAAUACAAUAAAAGUAUUUUUUCCCUUUCUCAUAUUUACAGUAAACCUAGUUUGUAUUUGUCAUUGUCUCGAAGCAAGAAUCUGUCCCAGAAAAAAAAAAAAGAAAGAAAGAAAAUUUCCAUUCAAAACUAACAGGAUUUAGGCCAGGCAUGGUGGCUCACACCUGUAAUCCCAGCCCUUUGGGAGGCUGAGGCGGGCAGAUCAAAUGAGGACAGCAGUUCGAGACCAGCCUGGCCAACUUGGUGAAACCCUCUCUCUACUAAAAAUACAGAAAUUAGCCAAGGAUGGUGGCAGGCACCAGUAAUCCCAGCUACUCAGGAGGCUGAGGCAGGAGACUAGCUUAAACCUGGGAGGCAGAGGUUGCAGUGAGCCGAGAUUGCGCCACUGUACUCCAGCCUGGGCAACAGAGUGAGACUCUGUCUCAGAAAAGAAAAAAAAAAAAAAAACUAACAGGAUUUAUACUAUUGGUUUUCCACAGAAUUCUCCCAGUUGCAGAGUUUCCCAAACACUAUUUAUUAGUGUGGCUUUGCAGGGUGCAGUGGCUCACACCUGUAAUCCCACCAGUUUGGGAGGCAGAGGAAGGAGGAUGACUUGAGCCCAGGAGUUCCAGGCUGCAGUGAGCUAUGAUUGCCACUGCACUCCAACCUGGCUAACAGAGCAAGACCCUGUCUCUCAAAAAAUAUAUAUAUAUAUACAGCUUCCACUCUGCCCAUCUGAGCUCUUACCUGUGUUCACACCUUUGAUCCAUUCCCUCCCAUCUGGAUUUUUUUGCUAUUUUCCCUUCACUCUCCAGAGUCCAGGGCUCUCUCCUUUGCUCCCACAUAGAGAUAAUACUCAGGUCAGGAAGACAGAUUCCUGUUUAUAAAAAAAGAGAACCAAGGUGUACUGUGGCACCUUUAAAACUCAAGCCCUGGGCUGGGUGCAGUGGCCCAGGCCUGUAAUCCCAGCACUUUGGGAUGCCGAGGCAGGCAGAUCACUUGAGGUCAGGAGUUCGAGACCAGCCUGGCCAACGUGGCAAUAUGCUGUCUCUACUAAAAAUAUAAAAAUUAGCCAGGUUUGGUGGUGGACGCCUGUAAUCCCAGCUCCCUGGGAGUCUGAGGCAGGAGAAUCACUUGAACCCGGGAGGUGGCGGUUGCAAUGAGCUGAGAUAGCACCACUGCACUCUAGCCUGGGUGACAGAGCGAGGCUCCGUCAAAGUGAAAGAAAAGAAAGAGAGAGAGAAAGGGAGGAAGGAAAGAGAGAAAGAGAAAGAAAGUCAGUCCAUGGUUUCCAAAACAUACUUCUGUUUCCAUUAAUUUAUUAGGAAUGCUCUUCCAUCUGGCUGUUGAUCUGUGUCCUGUGUAACAUCCUUUAUAACAAAUGGUACACCUCAGUAAAUUGUUUCUCCAAGUUGUGUAAAUCACUCUAGCAAUAGCAAAUUCUGGGGGCAGUUUUGUGCAACUGAGCCCUCAGCCUCCUGUGAGAUCUAAUGCUAACUCCCUAUAAAUGGUGUCAAAUUGAGUUCAAUUAGAGAACACCCAGUUUUUAUCUGAUGAAAAAUAGCUUGUUGGUGGGAAGUAAUCCCCACACAUUUUGAUGACCGGAGAUGAGGCAUUCUGUGUUGAGCAUUCACUAUUGUGUUGAUUGUGAGUAGAAAAAACACUUUGGUUUUUCCUCCUAUCUUAUACACUCACACACCCUACCCCAUCCCAGAAGUGAAGAUAGUGACCCAUACCUGAAUGAGUCAAGUCACUGCCUGCCGUCUGGCAGAAUAAGGACAGCAAAUGGAAGCUAACCUCUGAUACCAAGAAUUAGGAAAUGCACAUGCCUUAUAGACAGUUUUCCAAUUCUCAUCUUCAUCUGUAUAUUUUAAACAAAUGUGAUGUUUAUUAUAGAGAAAUUAAUCAUAAUAUCCAAUCAAUUCAUCAUUCAUCUGGAUUGAGUGUCCCCCUCUUUCCUCAUUACUGUGUGUUUCUCUACCUACCUCUCAUUCUCACCUUCUUUUCCUAGCUUUUUUUUUCUCUUUAUUUUUCCCCUAGGAUUCUCCUCAUUUCAAGCCCUUCUUCCUUCUCCUGCUCUUCCCUCUAUUCCUUCUCUUCCACUUGUUCUGCUCCUUUCUCACUUCUUUCACCUCUUAUUCUUCUUUCUGCCCAAUAUUUGUCUCCAAUUUUCAUAUAGUUCUGCCUCUUUCUUCCCCCCGUCUCUGCUGCCCCCUAGCUUCCCCUGUUAAAUCCCCUCUUCCCUGCUAUAUCCACCUGUCCCCUCUCUGGCAUCCCCAGAUCCCAGUUCUCCCCAGGCUGUGGUUCUCCCUGUGCUCUCCUUAUCACUGGCUGCCCCUCUUGCUCUCCCAGCACCAUGCUGCUCUGUCUGCCCUGGCUCCAAAUCCCUCCUUCUCUCCCCAACUCUCCAUCUGAGGAGCCUCCCCUUUUCUGCCCCUCUCCCUAUCUUGCUGAACUUUAUCUCUCUAGAAACCCAGUUUUUCUCUAAAUUUCUCUAGUUGCUUUUCUCCCCCUGCUCCUUUCUCAGCAUCUUCAUGCACUGUCUCUGCAAAUCCCUCAUCCACCAUCUACUUUGCCAUCUGUUUUGUUUUGUUUUUUGUUUUUUGAGAUGGAGUUUUGCUCGUCGCCCAGGCUGGAGUGCAAUGGUGCGAUCUUGGCUCACCGCAACCUCCGCCUCCCGGGUAAAAGCGAUUCUCCUGCCUCAGUCUCCAGAGUAGCUGGGAUUACAGGCAUUCGCCACCAUGCCUGGCUAAUUUUGUAUUUUUUAGAGACAGGGUUUCUCCAUGUUGGUCAGGCUGGUCUCAAAACUCCUGACCUCAGGUGAUCUGCCCGCCUCAGCCUCCCAAAGUGCUGGAAUUACAGGCGUGAGCCAUCGCACCCAGCUGCCGUCUGUUUAUGGGUCUCCUUCAUUCUUCUUUCCCAUUUCACCAUUUUUCUAUUUCCUCUCCUCCACACAUUCAUAGGGAGGGGACUGCAGUCAGAUCCCCACCUCAAGAGCCCAUUUCCUGUGGGAUGGAAUUUGGGACAAGAGAAACCUUAACGUCCUGAGAUAGAAGUCACGUCCCCACACUCGAUAUCAGGAGAAGGGGAGGCCUGGGGAGCAGAAGGGCCCCCGAUCAAGGAGGAAAAAGGCAGGAGAAAGUCAGGAGAGGGGCAGGGUCUGCAGGAUCCCAGGACCAGGAAGAGUUCACGGCCUCCCUGGGACUGGGGCUGCGUCGCUGCGCUCCAGGAGCUGACGAGGGAGCGGAGCAGAUGGGAAGCUCCCAGGGCGGGAAUCAACCUUGCGGUGAGGACUUUAAAAAAGGUGCGGGCCAGUGCAGGGGACACUGAAGGAUUUGAGGCAGGAAAACUCCGCGAUAAGAGCUGUCUAUAUGGCCCUGUGGCAGAAGCACGGGGGACACGACCCCAUGGAACUGUGUCCAUUAAACCUCUUUGUCUUCAUAAAUUACCCAGUCUCGGGUAUUUCUUUAUUAGCAGCGUGAGAACAGACUAAUACAGUAAAUUGGUAAUGGUAUAGAGUGGGGUGCUGCUAUAAGGAUACCUCAAAAUGUGGAAGCAAAUUUUGAACUGGGUAACAGGCAAAGGCUGGAACAGUUUGGAGGGCUCAAAAGAAGACAGGAAGACGUGGGAAAGUUUGGAGCUUCCUAGAAAAUGGUUGUUGAAUGGUUCUGACCAAAAAGUCCAGGCUGAAGGUGGUCUCAGAUGGAGAUGAGGAACUUUAUUGGAACUGGAGCAGAGGUGAGCUGCAGGGGCGGAGCCCUCAUGGAGAACCUCUGCUAGAGCAGUGCAGAAGUAAAAUGUGGGGUUGGAGCCCCCACACAGACUACUCACUACUCGCCUAGUGCAGCCGUGAGAAAAGGGCCACCCUCCUAUAGACCCCAGAAUGGUAGAUUCACCGACAGCUUGCACCAUGUGCCUGGAAAAGUAGCAGACACAACACCAGCCUGUGAAAGCAGCCAGGAGAGGAGCUGUACCCUGCAAAGUCACAGGGGCAGACAUGGGUUCCCUGCAAGACCACUGGAACCAACCUCUUGCAUAAGUGUGACCUGGAUGUGAGACACGGAGUCAAAAGAGAUCAUUUUGGAGCUUUGACUGCCCUGCUGGAUUUCAGACUGGCAUGGGGCCUGUGACCUGUUUUGGCCAAUUUCUCCCAUUUGCAACGGGCGUUAUUUAUCCAAUACCUGUGCCUCCAUUGUACCUAGGAAAUAACUAACUUGCUUUUUAUUUUACAGGCUCAUAAACAGAAGAGACUUGCUUGUCUCAGAUGAAACUUUGGACUGUGGACUUUUGAGUUAAUGCUGAAAUAAGACUUUGGGGGACUGUUGGGGAGGCAUGAUUGGUUUUGAAAUGUGAGGACAUGAGAUUUGGGAGGGACCAGGGGCAAAAUGAUAUGGUUUGGCUGUGUCCCCACCAAAUCUCAUCUUGAAUUGCAGCUCCCAUGAUCCCCACAUGUGGGAGGGACCCGGGGGGAGGUAACUGAAUCAUGGGGGUGGGAUUUUCCCAUGCUGUUCUCAUGAUAGUGAAUAAAUCUCAUGAGAUCUUAUGGUUUUAUAAAGGGCAGUUUCCCUGCACGGGCUCUCUCUUGCCCGCCACCACGUAAGACAUGUGUUUGCUCCUCCUUCACCUUCUGCCAUGAUUGUGAGGUCUCUCUAGCCGUGUGAAACUGUGAGUCCAUUAAACUUCUUUUUCUUUAUAAAUUACCUAGUCUUGUGUAUGUCUGUAUUAGCAGCAUGAGAACAGACUAAUACAACAUCCCAGGCUGCUCACCUAUCCCUGUUCUCCAAUUUGGACCAGCUGGGGAAGUCCAUCCUGCUUUCCCCAGAAAGCCUCAUGUAAAUGUUUAUGUAGUAAACAUUUGCAGACCAUAUCAGUGUAUGGCAUCAUCAUUCUCAAUAUAUAAUACAAACUUUAGGUGGACUUCAAACAAAUUCCAGUACAGCAGUCAAAAGUUCAAAUUAUCGGUCAAGCAUGGUGGCUCACACCUGUAAUCUCAGUACUUUGGGAGGCUGAGGCGGGUGGAUCACGAGGUCAAGAGAUCAAGACCAUCCCGGCCAACAUGGUGAAACCCUGUCUCUAUUAAAAAUACAAAAAUUAGCUGGGCGUGGUGGUGCACGCUUGUAGUCCCAGGUACUCAUGAGGCUGAGGCAGCCGUUUGAACCCGGGAGGCAGAGGUUGCCAUGAGCCAAGAUCGCGCCACUGCACUCCAGCCUGGUGACAGAGACUCUGCCUAAAAAAAAAAAAAAAAAAAAAAAAGUUCAAAUUGCCAAAAAUGUUGUAAGGGGAAGUAUAUGAAGUUUCUAGUUAAUCUACAAAAGCAAAAAAAACUCCCAUUCUAUGUGACCAUUCUUAAAAUUUAUGGGCCAGGCGCAGUGGCUCACACCUGUAAUCCCCGCACUUUGGGAGUCCGAGGCGGGUGGAUCACAAGGUCAGGAGUUUGAGACCAGCCUAGCCAAUAUGGUGAAACCUUGUCUCUACUAAAAAUACAAAAAUUAGCCGGGCGUGGUGGUGCGCGCCUGUAGUCACAGUUAUUUGGGAGGCUGAAGCAGAAGAAUUGCUUCAACCUGGGAGGUGGAGGUUGCAGUGAGCCGAGAUCGUGCCACUGCACUCCAGACUCUGUCUCAAAAAAAAAAAAAAAAAGAAAAUUUAUGAACAUUAAUAUUUUCCACUUACGUCACUGAGCACUACUAGGAAAAAAAAAAAAGACAUGCACUACUAGGAAAAAAAAGACAUUGUGGUACAGUAUUUUCACUCUUAUUAACAUACUUUCUUUCAUUUAAUAGUAUUUGUCGCCAGGCACAGUGGCUCACGCCUGUAAUCCUAGCACUUUGGGAGGCCGAGGCAGGCAGAUUGCCUGAGUUCAGGAGUUCGAGAACAGCCUGGGCAACAUGGUGAAACCCCGUCUCUAA